UUUUAUUAAAAAUAUUUUAUUUACAAUAAAAAGAAUAAUAAAUAAUCA
rnacentral:tRNA from 1 species